GCUUGCACCCCGCUGACGAGCGGCGGACGGGUGAGUAAUGCAUAGGAAACUGCCCAGUAGUGGGGGAUAGCCCGGGGAAACCCGGAUUAAUACCGCGUACGCCCUUCGGGGGAAAGCAGGGGAUCUUCGGACCUUGCGCUAUUGGAUGUGCCUAUGUCGGAUUAGCUAGUUGGUGGGGUAAAGGCCUACCAAGGCGACGAUCCGUAGCUGGUCUGAGAGGAUGAUCAGCCACAUCGGGACUGAGACACGGCCCGAACUCCUACGGGAGGCAGCAGUGGGGAAUAUUGGACAAUGGGGGCAACCCUGAUCCAGCCAUGCCGCGUGUGUGAAGAAGGCUUUCGGGUUGUAAAGCACUUUCAGUGAGGAGGAAAAGUUGGUCGUUAAUACCGGCCAGCCUUGACGUUACUCACAGAAGAAGCACCGGCUAACUCCGUGCCAGCAGCCGCGGUAAUACGGAGGGUGCAAGCGUUAAUCGGAAUUACUGGGCGUAAAGCGCGCGUAGGUGGUUUGAUAAGCGA
rnacentral:rRNA from 1 species